GCGAAACAUCUUCAAACUUGGAAACAAAGUCCAGUGGUUUGUUUUUUUAUUUUUUUGGAAUGACGAUGACCUGGAUGACAGAGAAUCUUCACCAGCUUAAAAUAAGAAUCUACAUCAAGAUUUAAUUGCUUUUAUCCAAAACAAGAAACAAAUGUCCACAUAACCUUUACAAUUAAUAAAACUGAUAAUGGUGAAAAAGUAAGAAAGAAAUAUAAUAUUUAGUUGUUGAUUAAAUAAAGGACUUGAGUUUAGUGGUGUUUUUAUAUAUUUGCUGUUCUGCUCAUUCUGGUAUUAAUAUAACUAGCUAAUUUUUAGCUGAAUGGUUAGAAUGAUGUAUUUUUUUACACCAUAACUGUGAAUUUCUCAGUCCAAAAUAUUCCCAAACAACAGGAUUUGGUUUUCCUUUCAAGCAAUGAAAAAAAGUAACUAGUAUUGAUUCAGCAAGAUAAUCUGGAGUGCACAGGAACGGGUGGGGGAGGGGCACAGUUAAACUAAAAUUGACAUGACAGGAAAUCAGAGCAGACAUAAAGCUGUAACCUUCCAAAAACCUGUUGGACCUUCAUCCCGCUGACCAGCCCAUGCAAAGCAUGAAUGCUUGAGUUAAAUAUAACAUUUAACUAAUAAGAUUUGAUUUUUAUUUUUGCAAAGCCACCCCCCCCGGCCAGAUCUGUAACAACAUUCAAAAAUAUGAAUAUGCUCAUUGGCUUAACAAACCAAUGAAAACUCACAGCACUGAGAGCUAGAUCACAUAAGCCCUAUCACAACACGCAGCAGCGCUGCUGGGUCAAUAAACACACAGGUUCAUACAUCCACACACACGUAGCUCAAGAUAAAGGAUUUUUUUUUUUAAGAAGAAAAGGAUUGAGGAAGAAUCUUGAAGACUGAGGAUAUUUUUCAUGCAAUAAACUCCAGAAGCCACUCAGCAAAGCCGACGUUGCACACGCCACAGACCUGGCGGGCUGAGGAAAACAAUGUGAAUCUGAGGACUCCCCCUUCUGGGAAGUUAAUGAGUUUGAAACCAAGUGGAGCUGCUAAGAGACUGUUAAGCUUUACAGUUUUUGUGCAUUUUUUUUAAAAUCCUGUCACCUUUUUUGGCUAGAACAGAGGAGCGAUCGUAGAGGUAUGCAGGUCGUCCCAGCGAUCAAGCUUUUGCACGAAGACUUUGUGGAGUCCAACCAUCCCGCUCAAUGAGCAAUACGCUGCUGCUGCUGCUUCACAUCAUGUCUUUAUAUGCACAAAACCCACCAAUCCAUGUGUCUCUUCCUGACUCCUUUCCUCAUUAAAUGUUGUCUGUGAAAAAUGUUUAGAGAAAAUCUUUUGGAAGUUGUAAAAAGUGAUUUUAGCUAGAUAAAUGGAAGUAAAGCAGAACUUUAGGGCCCUAAAAUUCAAAAUUCUCAAAGUAUCAAGAAACAAAAAUCCUGACACUCUUAAAAACUGAUUAGUAAGGAAGAAUGCACACUGGCAUUUAAUAUAAUGUAAAAAAAAAUAACUAAAUAAAUAAUUUAUCAUGAGAAUGAAAGAAUCCAUACCUUAAGUUUCUUUACAAAAAGAAAAAUAGUAAAAAUGGAUCCUUUAAAUCCCAAAAAAUAAAAUGAAAACAAAGACAAGAUAACAUUCUAAAAAGCUUGACAGCAAAAACAAAAAUAUACUUUUUGCAAGACUUCAAAAAUAUUACUACAAAUUUGAAAUGCAAUGCAGCCCGGUUUCAAUUGCUGAUCACUUAGUAAUUUAUUUGCUUGUUUUUCUGACUUUUUGUAUUUGAAUUGUUUCAGUUUUAAAGUGUGCUGUGAAAGCAGUCUGUAUGGGGCUGAUGCUAACUGAUAACAUGGUGAAUGGAGCUGCCACUACCUCACAGCAGGCUGCAUGGGCAAAAUCUAAAUGGCACCAGGCUAACUCGAGUCAAUGCUAACUGACAACAGGCUGUAUGGGGCCAAUGCUAACUAACAGCAGGCUGCGUGGGGCCAAAGCUAGCUGACAGCUGGAUGUGUGGGACCAAUGCUAACUGGUAUGAGGCUGUGUGGUGCCGAUGCUAACUCACAGCAGGCUGCUUGAGGCAGAUGCUAACUCACAGCAGUCUGCUUGAGGCAGAUGCUAACUCAUAGCAGGCUGCUUGAGGCAGAUGCUAACUCACAGCAGUCUGCUUGAGGAAGAUGCUAACUAACAGCAGGCUGCUUGAGGCAGAUGCUAACUGGCACCAGGCCAUGUGGUGCCAAUGCUAACUAGUAGCAGACUGCUUGAGGCCAAUGUUAACUGACACCAGGCUGCUUUGAGCUGAUGCUAAAUAAUAGCAGGCUGCUUGAGGCAGAUGCUAACUAACAGCAGGCUGCUUGAGGCAGAUGCUAACUGACAGCAGGCUGCUUGGACCUAAUGCUAACUGACAGCAGGCUGCUCGAGGCAGAUGCUAACUGGCACCAGGCCAUGUGGUGCCAAUGCUAGCUCGUAGCAGACUGCUUGAGGCCAAUGCUAACUGACAGCAGGCUGCUUGAGGCAGAUGCUAAAAGACAGCAGGCUGCUUGGACCUGAUGCUAACUGACAGUGGGCUGCGUGGGGCCAAUGCUAACUAACUGCAGGCUCUUUGAUUCUGAUGCUAGCUAACAGCAGGCUAAAUGGGGCCAAUGCUAACUGGCACCAGGCCACGUGGUGCCAGUGCUAACUCACAGCAGACUGUUUGAGGUCAAUGCUAACUGACAGCCGGCUGCUUUGAGCUGAUGCUAAUUAUGAGCAGGCUGCGUGGUGCCGAUGCUAACUCAUAGCAGGCUGCGUGGGGCCAAUGUUAGCUGACAUCACGCUGCAUGGGGACAAUGCUAACUAACAGCGGGCUGCAUGUAGCCGAUGCUUACUGACAGCAAGCUGUGCAGAUCCAAUGCUUACUAUCAGUGGGCUGCGUUGGGGCAAUGCUAGCUUACAGCACGCUGCAUGGGAUGAAGCUAACCAACAGCAGGGUUUAUUGGUUAAUGCUAAAUAACAGGAGGCUGUAUCGGACCGACGCUGAUAGCAGGCUGUACUGAGCGGAUGUUAACUGACAGCAGGCGGUUUAUGUUAAAUGUGGCUGAUCUGAAUGCGUACGCUAUGAGCUAUAUUGUUAAAUGUGACCUUUAUGCCCGUAGGGGGCAGUGUGUCAAAGAUGGUGCUUCUUUUCUACUGUAGAUAAACAGAUGAUGUGCUGUAAGAGUUUCAGUAGAACUUUGAUUGUCAAGUCCAUGUUUUGAGAAGUUGGACUUGGACAAAUAUUUAAUGAAUGUCGUCAGUUUUUCUGUCCCUCACCGAAAUGAUCACUGUUCAAAUACAAAUACUUAACCUAAAUGUAAAAAAGCAGACAUUGUGGUACGUAUCGACCUCUCUUUGGUGAGCCUUGCUUUCUUCUGUAGGAGUUUAAAUGAUAAUUAAAAUGAUCCUAAAGCAGCAAGUUUGAGGUGUCCUCUGAUAGAUUCUUUUAGAUGUCCUUUCUACUGUGAAAGAAACGUGAAGAACUGUUACUAUUUUCCAGGUUUAUCUCUCUUUGUUUGGUCAAUUUUUUGUAGUAAUAGUUUAUUAUGGACUUCAACUCACAAACACAACCAGUCACUGUAUAUACUAUAUUUAAAAACAUUUUCUCAUGCUAUUAAAUACUUAAAUUAGUGUCAAAUUUAAAAAAUAAUAUCUAUAAGUAGUUGGAGAUAUUACAUGGUGCCUCUGAGGCUUUGUUCACGUGCUCUUAAUAUUUAGCAAAAGGGACAUUUUAGGGGGGAAAUCACAUUUUAAAAACAUUAACUGAAGUGGAAAAAUGUUAAACAUUUUAAUGUCUAGUCUGAGAAAAUGGGAGUGUUAUGAAUAUAAGGUAGCGGCUUGACUUAUUUAUUCAAUACUUUUCUUUGUAUUGCUAAAAUCUCUUUUAUCACCACCUACUGGCACUCUAGGGUUACUGCAGCAUUUUUUUCUUUAUUUAUAAAAAAA